GACGAACGCUGGCGGCGUGGAUUAGGCAUGCAAGUCGAACGGUAGGAUACCUUCGGGUAUCUGAGAGUGGCGAACGGGUGAGUAACACGUAGGUGAUCUACCCUCAAGAUUGGGACAACCCAGGGAAACUUGGGCUAAUACCGGAUGAAAGCAGCAGUGAUGUUGUUUGAAAGGUGGCGUAAGCUGCCGUUUGGGGAUGAGCCUGCGCUCUAUUAGUUAGUUGGCGGGGUAAAGGCCCACCAAGGCGAUGAUAGAUAGGCGGCCUUAACGGGUGGUCGCCCACACUGGGAUUGAGAUACGGCCCAGACUCCUACGGGAGGCAGCAGUCGAGAAUAGUCUACAAUGGCCGAAAGGCUGAUAGUGCGACGCCGCGUGACGAAGAAGCCCUUCGGGUGUAAGUUCUUUUAUAUAGUGAGCAGUGCUUUCUAUGUGAACAGCAUGGGGAGAGAGAUAUUAGCAUAUGAAUAAGCAACGGCUAACUCCGUGCCAGCACG
rnacentral:rRNA from 1 species